UGUAUUUUUCCGCCAAGAAGCUCAAGCAAUAUUUCCAUGAGCACUCCAUCACGGUCAUCUGCACUGCUAUGACGCCCCAAGCCCAGAGCUCCAGAAGCAUUCCAUGUUUUUUCGUUGUUCUUCAUGUGAUUUGUUUUGCUUCUUGCAUUCCUCUUUGCAUAUUUUGCGUUGCAUCAUGUCAUCAUGCCAUUUAAUUUUGUAAAACUCAACUAAAUAAAUUGCAUGGAUCUUCGGUCCAUUUAAACUGAGGGAAUUCACAUGGUGAUUCUCUUUGUAACAUAUCCUCUUGAUAUUAGGGAGCUAUAUUAAAUAUUCCAUUUGUUUGGAAUUAACCGGAACACCCUUGCAAAAUAAAUCCCAAUGCCUUUAUUAUCACAACUCUUGGCCUCUAAUUUUGCUAUAUAUCCUUUCUACAUUUUCCCGAGCUCUACCGAAAUUCUCAACAUUUUGGCCACACCUAAACCUUGUCCUAGUUCAAACCAUUUGAAUUAAAUUCAAAUGAGUUUGAAUUUAAAUCUUGCAAUCAUGACCAUUCCUAUUUUCUCGGAACAUGCACGUUUUUUUGUGAGUCCGGAGAAAUUAUCCCCAUGCGAAAAAUCCUUCCCUAACCCUCUCUUUCUUUUCCUCUCCCUAAUUUCUUUUCUGUUAAAGAAAUAAGUUUUAAAGAGAGAGAGAGAGAAGAGGGCCGGCCCAACCUCCCUUUAGCCCAGCCAGGCCUCUGGCCACUGGGCCUCCUAGCACGCUAGCCCACAUAAAUCCAUCCUAACCCUAACCCUCUCCCGAACACCCACUCCCUUCCCUUGUUCUCCUCCCUCACGCCGCCACUCAUGCAUUGCCAGAGAGAGGAGAGCGCUGCCUCGCUCGAUCCCUCUCCCUCUCAUCCUCCUGAUAGGCGCCGCCAGCCUCCCCUGUCACACCCUCCCGAUCCCCUCUCCUCGAGCACCGGCCGCCCACAGUAGCCUCCUCCCCUCAUGUCCCUGCCUAGCCCCACCAUGAAUGCUGCAAGACCUCGCAGCUGCCUCCCUGCCUCCGGCCAUGGCGCCCACGCUGGCGACCCGACCUGCCCUGCCGCGCUCUACUCCUUCCCCCACGUCCCCGUCUCACUGGAGCGCACCACCACCAUCGCCGCCUCCUUGCUCGGGAUAGCAAAGGCUCGAUCCCGAGAAGAACUAGCGCUCUGCUUCUCCACCGGAGCUCUUCUUCCGUGCGCCUUCGCCGUCCAAGACCAGCAAGCCACUGUAGCGCCAUUUUUGCCUCCUCAUUCACGUUCUGGUAAGCCUGGACCUCCCCUGCAAGCUCUUGCCACCGCGCUGAGUCCCUGCGCGCCUCCUCUGCUUCGCUUCUGCAUGAGGAUGAGCCCCUGCCUUUGCCUUUCGCCGAGUUCGAGUGGCCCCUGUUCAAGCCGCCAAGACCACUUCAUGGUUUUCACCAAGUUCGGUCACUGUUGAACCGAGGGCUUUUUGCCUUGCUUGGAUACGCAAGACCUUUCUGUAUAUUGCAUGUUGCGUGCCACAAUGACCAUGGAUUCGACACGCAUGUGCCAAGUUCCACUACCGUCGCUCGGAUUCGACAAGACAAUGUGUACCGCGACGCCCGAAGACACUGGAUGCACCAAGUUCCUCUUCGGACAUGUACAAUUACCAUCCCAUGCAUGUCACCAAGUACCACGACAUUGACGACCCCGAACAUCUACGAGAACGUGUGCUCCACUACCGUCGACCCUCGAAGACUCUGUGGACAUCAAGUUCCUCACCGUGGCCCCAAACAUCUACGAAACAUGAACGACUACCUCCUCUGUGGACAUCAAUUACCAUACCGUGGCCCCAAAGAUAUCUCAGGAGAUUCGCGUUUCCAUUCCUAGUUUGCUUAAGCUAUCUCGAGGUUGUUAUCUUAUUCAAGCCAUUUAACUCAACCGGCACAAUCUAUCUUUUAAAUCGUUCAACAGUGUUUCUUUUGAGUGGGCCCUAACCCACAGGUCUUUUCCAGAAUCUUACCUGACUCCUCUCUUUCCCGGAGUUACUCUCAAAUUCUUCUCCAAGUUUGACGUAAGAAUGAAUUUUCAUCAGACAUUUGUAUUUCUCCAAGAUCUGUCAAAUUAUUUUCAUCGUUGGCUCAACUUUUCUAUUCGUCAUCCCGGAGUAUCUCAACAAUUCAUGGUGGUGUCUCUCAUCAUCAUUCUCUGCAUUUGAAGACCGAAGAAGAGUUUUCCUCCAAAUCUUAUUCGUUCUCUCAAAGAUUCGUGAUUCUAGCUUGUUGCCAUCCUCUCAUAAUUGUUUUUAGAUUGUGAGAAUUCUUUUCACCCAUCCGGAGCAAUUCAGGAGUAUCUUUCAGUUUGAUUAUCCGGAGCCCAUCAUCUCAGAAUUAUUCAUUCCAGCUUUUCAGCUGUCGUUCUCCAAAUCAUACCGGUGCUUCAUUGACAUAUCCUCUAAUUAGUUCACGAUCUCUUCAUUCUCAUGUAUCUAAAUCCCAGCAAGUAUCUUCUUUCAUUUUUCUAAUUCUUCCCGGUGAUUUGUGCCUUUGCUACUUUCUUUUUCAAUUCUUACGGUGGUUCGUUCAAGAUUUCUCCUCCUUCGUUAUCGUAUCAAUUCAUGCAUUCUUUCCAAAUCCUACCGGUGGCUUGUUCAAGACUUUUAUCAAGUUUACACUAUAUCUCUCCUCAAUCCUUUUUCAAGAAGAAUAAGCAGUAUGCCAAAUCCGUUGCUUGCACUACUAGGAAAAGGGCUAUAAAUAAUAUGGACACUAAUGGCGCACGAGACAUGUGGUGCGCCACUACUAUAUAGCAGUGGCGCACCAUGUGUCGGUGCGCCAUUAGUGUGAUAGACACUAAUGGCGCACCACAUCCACGGUGCGCCACUACUAACAUAAUUUUUUUUAAUUUUUCCAAAAAUACAAAUGGCGCACCAGGGCACAGUGCGCCAUUACUAGUUUUAACUAGUAAUGGCGCACCACCCACCCGUGCACCACUACUAUCAAUUUUUUUAAAAAAUAUUUUUUGAAAUCAUGAAUAUUUUUAAAUUUAAUUCAUGGGAACUUUUUGAAUUUAUGAAUAUUUUUUCAAAUUUGAUGAUAUUUUUCAUAUUCAAUAUGAAAAAAUAUUGAAUAUUCAUGAGGACACUCGAUCUCGAUCCCCCUCCAUCUUGAUCGCUAUCCCCCCUCGCCAGACCCCCCUCGCCGCCGAGCACCCCUNNNNNNNNNNNNNNNNNNNNNNNNNNNNNNNNNNNNNNNNNNNNNNNNNNNNNNNNNNNNNNNNNNNNNNNNNNNNNNNNNNNNNNNNNNNNNNNNNNNNNNNNNNNNNNNNNNNNNNNNNNNNNNNNNNNNNNNNNNNNNNNNNNNNNNNNNNNNNNNNNNNNNNNNNNNNNNNNNNNNNNNNNNNNNNNNNNNNNNNNNNNNNNNNNNNNNNNNNNNNNNNNNNNNNNNNNNNNNNNNNNNNNNNNNNNNNNNNNNNNNNNNNNNNNNNNNNNNNNNNNNNNNNNNNNNNNNNNNNNNNNNNNNNNNNNNNNNNNNNNNNNNNNNNNNNNNNNNNNNNNNNNNNNNNNNNNNNNNNNNNNNNNNNNNNNNNNNNNNNNNNNNNNNNNNNNNNNNNNNNNNNNNNNNNNNNNNNNNNNNNNNNNNNNNNNNNNNNNNNNNNNNNNNNNNNNNNNNNNNNCUAGGCAACAAAAAAUUCGAUUUUUUUACUAAUGGCGCACUGCUAGGGGGUGCGCCAUUGCUAUCCAAAAAAAGAUUACAAAUGGCGCACCUCUAGGUGAUGCGCCAUUGCUAUCCAAAAAAAGAUUACUAAUGGCGCACCGCCAGGAGGUGCACCAUUGCUAUCAAAAAAAAUUACUAAUGGUGCACCGCUGGGUGGUGCGCCAUUGCUAACCCUCCCCCCACUAAAGUCCCCACUCCACUUGCUCCCCUGUCCCUCUGGCCUCUCUCCCUCCCUUCGCCAGAUCCAUGCGCCCUCCCCUGACCCACUGCGCCGCCGCCCCAACCCACUGCACCGCCGCCCAGACCCUCCCCGAGCGCGGCCGCCGCGCGUCACCGCGGCCACCGACCGCCCCGAGCUCCGUCGUCGUGCCGGCAUCACCUAGGAGCUGCGCCAGGAGCUGCGACCUAUUCUUCCUCAUCACUGACCACUGCUUCUCGGUGUCUAUCUGCGCUGCCCCGACCACCCUUGGCCUCGCCGUCUCCUUCCCAAGCUCUGCGGGGAGCGUCUCCAUCGGUUCCCCGCUUUUCCCCUUGUUUUGUCGUUGUUUGUGCCGCCCACCACUUCCCUGCGGGCGCUCGUGCUCACCGCGCCGGCCGCCCCUCGCGUGCCGUGCGCCACCCACUCGCGUAGAGCCUAGAGGAUGGCCCCUCACAUAGAGCAUAUUGUAAAUGCAUAUUGUAGAAGAAGUUGAAUAGAAAGAGUUGGUAUUUGCGUUAGUUGUACAGAUGAAGAAGCUAAUUUUUUUGGGUUUCGUACUGCUGUCCAUGAUUACAAUACCGUAGAAGUUUGGUACUAGUAGAAACUUUGGAACUUGGAAACCCAAAUCAGUCGAGUUUCUGUUUGAUUAGCCUACUGUAUUCCUGAUUUUUGUUUCAUUUAGCAUAUUGUAAAUGCUUUGAAAUAACUGAACCAAAUUCAGUUUGUAUCCUACAGUAAUCCAGGUUUUCAGGUUGAAAUAACUAAACUUGAAAUAGCUUUGGAAGCCUGUUAGUAACCUAACUAUCUUGUGCUUAUGCUUAUAUGUUGUACGGUAUAUUUUCUGAAGCAACAAUGGAGAUGUGUUCCUUGUUAUUUACAUACUCUUCUUCUUUCCGCUUUUGGACUGUCAUUUCCUUUGAUCUUCUCCUAAUGCUACUUAGUAUGUACUCGCAUCUUCUUGCUAGGAUGAUAUAAUUAUUUGUAGACUGUUUACCCAUUUUUCAUUUCUGCUUAUGGAUAACUCUGUUUUUUAUUACUCCGCACAUCCCCUGUUCCGAGCGCGUGUUGUAUAGUGUUUACUGCUUACAACAGUCAAGUAAUAUGAUCUUUUAAUGCCUUGUGAUGCUCUGAAUUACUUGUCAUCACAUUGAGAAAGACUUGUAAAGAUAAUGAUCAUCUUUUACAGAAAACAAUUUCUGUAAACACAUCAGUAACUUUGCUAGUUUGUGUAACAUCCCAAAAUUCUAAAUUUUGGAAUGUUAUAAUAAAUAGAUAGAUUUGAUUGAUUGUUUGAUUGAUUGUCUGAAAGUGAGUGAAUUCAAAACUUUUUGAAAGUUAAAUGAGAGGGAAUAAAAGGAAUUUCCCAAACUUUCAUAUUUGCUUUCUGAUCUCCGUGAAUUCAAAUUCUUUUCAACCCAAAACCCUAGAGAGAAGAUGACAUGACUUCUUCCAUUUUAAUUAAAUGAAAAGGGUUGUUGAAAAUAUUGAAUUUCAUUUGAAAAUAUUUCAAAUUCUUAAACUUCAAGCAAAUCAAUGAUUUUCAUGAGCAAAGAUAAAAUGACUUCUUCAAAUUAUAUGAAAUGUGAGUUGGGAGUUAUAAAAGAUCACAUUUAAAGUCUUUUUUGAAUUUAUUUUCAAUUUGGAGUUAUUUGAGUUUUAUUCAAAUUAUUUUUCUCCAAAAAUAAAAUAUAUGGAAAUUAGGGCAACAUGAUUCCCUACAUUAGAAAAUUGGAGAAAAUUAAUUUGAAAUCAUUUUGGUAUUUUUAAAAUGAUUUUUAUUGGAUUUUAUUAGACCUGUAGCACUCUUUGAAUUAUCUGAAUUUGUGUGGAUUUUAUUUGGCAUUAUAAAAAUGUCCAUGUUGUAGAAAAUCUUUUUCUGAAAAUUAUGAUAUAUUAUAUGCCUAUAUAAUAUUUUUAGUUAUUUUGGUUUUAUUAUUUUUGUUCUCUGAAAAAAAAUGUUAAAAAAAACCUCUUCGCCGACUGGGCCGGCCCAGCUCCUAGCCAGGCCGCGGCCCAGCCCAUCCGCACCAUCGCCACCGACCCCGGGCGGAGACCCUCGCCCGUACGCCGCCGGCCCUCGCCGUGUCCGAGGCGGACACGCCGCCGUCGCCCCUUCCCCACGCCUCCCGAGGCCCCCUAACCCCCUUUAAAGCCCCGCCGCCUCCUCCUCCCCUCCCCGCUUCUCGUCGCCGCCGCAUGCGCCAGCGCCGCCGCCCUCUGCCGCACUCGCCGCCACCGUUGGUUGCCGCCGCUGCCGCCUCGCUGCUCGCUGCUCCUCGCCGCCGCCGCUGCUCCACCACCGCGCCGCUGCCUUGCUAUGCUGCCGCCACUGCUCGCGUGCGCCGCACCCCGCCAGAGCUGCUGCCCGAUCCAAACCGCCACCUCGCCGGAAUCCGCAGUCGCUGGGGAACCGCCAUCGGGUUUUUGCCGAAAACCGCCCGAACCGGUAUAAAACCGCCCCGGUCCGGUUUAUUUUCCUUUAGGUUUACUUCAGUUUUCGUUUAAAAAAACCAGUUUAGUUUUUCUUGUUAGAUCUAUUUAGAGAACGUCCUCUGUUUAGAACUAGUUAGCGAACGUUCACUUUUUAGAUUUCUCUUUUUCUUUUAUUUCUUUAGUUUUCUGUCCAGGGACCUAUUUGUAGUAGUUUCUUUUACAGAUUAGUCCCUGUACUUCAAACGACCACAACUUUUUGCUCGUUAGUCCAAAUCCAAUGAAACCAACACUCACGUCUUCGUUAUGAUCCCCUCUAUCCAGUAAAGCAACUCAAACAUGUUUUUGAAAAGUUUAAAUUUUGAAUUAGACUAGAUUUGAAUUCAAACUUCGUUUGAUCAUAACUUGAGUUUCGUAGCUCCGUUUGAGUUGAUUCUUUUUGCAAAUGGAAGCUCUUGACCUAAACUUUCUGAUAAGGCAAAAUUCACAUAAUUUUGGUACUGUUAGAAAUUGUUUUAUGUUGCAAGAGCUAUUUGCUUGGUUUUGAUGUUUUCCGAAUCGUCUUCUCGAUCUUUCUGAUCUUUUGAGUGAUUGCUUAUGUGUGGUUACUAUUGCUUGCUUACGAUAGAUUGACCGGAGUGUGACGAGUAGAGCUAUCAAGAGUUUUGAGUGUGAAUCAUCUUCAUCAACAUUGCACGCAAGUAACACUUUGAUCAUACCUUUCCUACUACCCAGUUUUAUUGCAUUAGAUCAAUCCUCACACAUUGCACGAUUAGGAUCUAAAUAAAUUGUGGAAUGGGAAGUAGUGGAGGUGGUACCUAUUCCCUGUUUAUUAUCAAACCUUUGGGAGUUACUUCUACGUUUGCUUAUUAUGCCAUGCUAUGCUAGUAGACGUGGAUUGGGUGAGUGAUAUCCAUGACAGAUGUGAGUUUGUUAACUAAUGGUUUAUCUAAGGUGGCAACUUAAACACACAUCUGGGUGGAUUGAGGCACCUGGUUAUUCCAGGAUUGCCUGUCUAGGCACUUGGGUAUUCCAGGAUUGCCUAUUUUUUUAUGGACCACCACCCAGGCUCAAUGGGAUCAUGAGAUUAUUCAUACUAGAAACUUCUGUGUGCAGCCACAGGCUAUUAUGGGCUCUAGCAUAGUUGAUUAAGUCGUGUGAACUCUUACAGUAGUAGACUAGCAGAUGUAGGGGUUGUAGGUGGUACGGUCUACCCAUCGUAAGGUGCAAAUGCUUUUGAAAGACUAUGUCUCGGUCAUCCGUCUCUCAAACACCAUGUAGUGUGAGAAACCAAACGGAGGCGAUCGAGUCUUGUGGGGAAAAGUGCGCAAACCUCUGCAGAGUGUAUAAACUAAUCAUGGUUAGCCAUGUCCCCGGUUAUGGACGUCUUGAGUAUCUAGUACUUGGAUUAUCAUGUGAAUCUCAUCAUGUUACUUUAAAUUAAGUUUGUUGGGUUUAAUGAUGUUAUUUAAUUGGGAUUGAGAAUGCUGUCAACCAUUCUCAAUGUUCAACAACCACCAUGAUAGUUAAAUAAAAUUUAUUCCUUUGCAGUAGGGAAAAAUUGGCUUUUCACAAAAACCUUAUAACCGUAGAGCUUUUCCACCAGCCAAAUAUGCAUGUAGUGAUAGCCAUUGUUCAUCAUUCUCUAUGGUGUGAAUUUGCCAGUACAUUCAAUGUACUGACCCUUUGUGGCUGCACCGUCUCAUGUUGCAGGUUUAUCUUACGACGAGUAAGUGAUACGUUAGGGUUACAAUUUCUACACUCAACUUUGCCGUUGGUGUUGAUGGGAAUCCACAACCUUGUUACUUCUGCUAUUUUGGAUUGAGGUAAUAGUAUCUUACAUUUAGUUAUACAUGUGACUUACCUCUGUUAUAAAUCCUCGAGUACUGUGUGUGUCAGCAUGCCGAUCCAGGGAUGACACUUAAGCACAGAGACUUGAUCCAUUAGGGUCGGGUCGCUACAGUUUGCUGGGUUUUGUCUCCGACCAUCGUGUCAUGAUGAUUUUGUAGGUACCCCAGGAGGCCCUUGAGUUUGCUGGAAUGUCGAUUAACUUCCAUUCCGGCAAAUUCGGGUACUCCAUAAUGUCCUAUUUUCAGCAAAGGUCAUGCUAAAAUUUUCUAUGAAUUUUAGCAUGACUUUGCUAAAAAUAGGACAUAUGGGGUACUUGCGGCUAAUGCAUGGGCCGGGGUAUCUUAAUACUUAAUUAAGUAGGAUCAACUGCCUCUUGUGUUAUACAUAUAGAAGUGUGAUAUCAACUCAUAGUUAUUACUAAUGUUAGUUGCUCGUCAUCGAUAAACCCUAAUCUGGUAGGAUGACCUACUAAAAAACACCAUACCACAUAUUCUAUUUGGAUGGCCCUGCUAACCCUUGACCAUAAAUACUUGAGAUGGAUGUAGCAGGCUUAAAGAAAGAAAUGUUUUAGGCCAACUCCACUGGGCCUGGCUGAAAAUGCACAAGAGUGCAUGACUAACAAUAUUCUAUUGUAGACCUAAACAGGAAAUAGGAACCACUUAUCCUAACCAUUGCUCUCAAAAUUACUACUUCACUUCUUACUACUGAAAAUCUUAGACCAUCUCCAUUCACCAAUAGCUCAAACCAGUUUGAAGGGCAUGUUUUCACUACACUGUGGAUUAUCUUAUUGGACCCAACGCAAGAGAUGAUGUAGUUUUGAAUUAUGAACGUAGGAAAUGUCGUCAUCGGACGACAAAAGUCUCCCGGGGGAGUGCGGCUGGUGCCACGACGAUCGAGGUCUGUGCAACAUGCCUUACCUGGACGAUGAUCGGCACUUCAGCAUUAAGCUCGAGGAGACCUUCGAACUUGAAAUGGUACACAAUGACGACAAGUGUUAUUUUCAUAAUUAAGCAUGACUUCAACUAUUUCAACGUGUAAUUUUCAUCUUUUACAAAUCGAUUAUAGCUUAUCCCAUGCCAUGCAAGAUGCUAUGUCUUGGAGAGGAUGGAUUCUGAAGACCAUGAAAAUUCUGAAACAAAGAAAAUUCACCUAAGGACUCAUCACGAUGUGGAUUUUGAAGUAAAUCUAUAUAAUUCUGGGAGCGUAACCCAUUUUGGUUGCAAAAAAUAGGAAGCAUUUUGCAAGAUGUAUGGUUUUGAUGAGGGUAUGCUUGUCACCAUGGAUCUUGGUGAUCCUGACAUCGACCAAGACAAUAUGGACAUUUGGGUCCUUGUUCAUACGCCUCCAGUUCUACCGCUAUGUGAGUUUCUCAAACAUAGUUAAUUAUUAACUAAUUUAUAUUGUUCAUUUCAAAAUAGUUGAUAGCUUAUUUCCACUGACAGCUUAUGUUCAUUCUUCAAAGAAUGUGUGGGAGAUGGUAGACAAAACCCACUACACCGAUGGCUCCGAAUUAACUUACAACAAGAAAAAUCAUAUGGUCAGAUUUUGAACUGACAUUGAGAAUUAUAAUAUCUACAAUCAAACUCCUCAACAUUAUGGUCAAUACGUGCCACUAAUGCAUGUGUUGAACUACGGUAACUACCAUGGAGAUACCCUGGUAAGAUUUUUUACUAUUACUUCUAAAACUGUACAUCAUUGCUAACUAUGAAGUUAUUACUAUGUUUUUCAACAGAUAAUCCCAGAGAAUUGUGUCCCUCAUUUGAUGUAUCAGAAAGGUAGCCUUAAUGUUUUGAACAUAUAGCCAGGUCAACCUACGAAUCUUAACUGUCCAUACCACAUUUCUAAAAGAAGUGGAGACAUGCAAAUCAAAGGAUGGAAAAAAUGUAUAGACAGUCGUAAGGAGGUUCUUGGAAGCAAAAGGAAGCGAAGCGCAAGAAUUGGAGACGGGAUGAUCUCCAUUCUCCAUAAUGGAGAGUCAGGGUCUAUUUUGUUUUAUGCUAUUUUACCUUAAAUAGGGUAUUUAGGUCAUGUUUCGGCAUAGCAGUAGCAGUAGCACGGAGAUAAGAGAUGACACAUCUCUCAAAUAUCUCCGAAUGCAGCAUUACUUUCGACAAACUCGCUACUCGCGGUCUCAAGACUUGUAAUGUUCUACCUUUGAUCGGUCUUUUGAAUUCAGAGACUAAUAUGAUGAAUUGUAUCCGGAGACUAAUCUUCUAUUGUAUUUGAUGAAUCUGUUGUUGCUGUGUGGUGCUGUCCAUAUUCUGUCCAGUAAUAUACUUUGUAACCUGUGCAAAUAUCAUAACAGAACAAAAUCCCUAAUAUUCAUACUAGUGGCGCACCACCAACUAGUGCGCCAUAAGUAAGCCAGAGCACACUAGUGGCGCAUCAUCAACUAGUGUGCCAUUAGUAAGCCAGAGCGCAAGGGGGAAUAUGGCCCCUGGGAGACAUACUAUUGGCGCACCAUGGGAUAUACUAAUGGCGCACUGCAUGGUGCGCCAUUAGUAUACCAGAUACUAAUGGCGUGAUGCUAGUGGCGCACCUGUAGUGCGCCAUUAGUAGGUGAAACAGGUGCGCCACCAGCAGGCAUGUUCCUAGUAGUGUUGUCAUCAAUUUAAUUGAUGAAGGAUAAGCAUAAUGUAAUUCUUAUUCUUGUUUUCUUUCAAGCGAUUAAUUCCUUAUUCCGGAGGUUCACCAAAAUUAUUGAUCUCAUUUGUUCAUCUCUCUUUGGGGAGUUCCAAGUUUUCUCGGUGAUAUCAUCGCGAAGUUUCAUCUAAUCAUUGCAAGGCUUCAAUCUUAUUUUUUUCAUCCUUCAUUUCUUUUGAUCAUUCUUUUAUUACCGGAGUUCUACAUGGAGGAUCUACAUGGUGGUUCGUCAAGGAUUCUUUUCAUUCUUCAAUUGUUCUUCAAGAUCUCUUUCGAAGUUUAGAUCCGCCAAGCUAUACUCUCAAAUAAACAUGGGGCUCAAUGCAUGUCUUGUUUUGAGGAGUUCAGACAUUCUUCAUCUUGCAUUCCGAAGUGCAAUUCUUUCUACCUUAUCUUUUGAGGUGGUGUUAUGUCAUUCUUGACAAUUUCCCUUCAUGCUACAUGAUUCACAAGUUGUCUAGAAUGACAUAUUUUAAACCCAUCAUUUUCAAUGCGGUCAGGAGAUUCUUUGCAACCCAUCAAUCUCUUCAUUGGAGUUAUCCUGGGUUAUAUUUCACCUAAAUAUUUCCCUAAGGAUUGUUGCUACUUAUGGUGCUUGUAAAUGACCCAAGUUCUUCAUUUAUCCUGCUGGUGAGAUAAGUUUCUCGUCUCCUUGUUCAUAUCAAUCCAAUCUUUUGUUUCGUUAGUGGCAGAUUUUCACCUCAAGAUUUCGAGAUGUUUUCCAUAAGCCCACAACAAGCUUACUCUUUUCGUGUUGGUUUUCAAACAACUCCGUUCAAUCCUUCUUUUUAAGGCUGCUUUUCAAAUUCUAUUGUGGUAGAAGAUGUCAUUUUCUUCCCAACUCUUUUCUUUCCAACGAUCCAACUUCUAUUCUUUCGUUCCGAAGGCAUUGUGAUGUUGCUCUUUUCACUCAUCAUCUCGGAUUAUGAGGACCAUGUUCUUUUCGUGCUUACCCAUUCAACCAGAGUGUCGUGUCCUCUUUUCAAGUAUCCUCUCAUCUUGUCAAGAUCAUGUUCUAUUCCUUCCAUUUACAGUCGGAGUGCUGUCCAAUUUAUAUCAUUGUUAUUACUUCUCUAUCUUGUUUUAACCGGAGUGUUGUGUCUAUCAUUCCUCUUCUAACCGGAGUCUCAUCCAAGUGCUUUCAUUUUGCCAAGCUCAUAUCCUUUACCUUCCAUUUCCAACCGGAGUGUUGUCGCAAUUGAUGCUUAUCGUUCCUUGUACAUCUUGUUUCAAUCAGAGUGCUUGCAUGUACUUCUUGCCCAUUGCAACCCCUUUUCUCACGUCUUUCAACCUACGGUGUUCUCGUGAUGUUCCUUGCUCCUCUUAUCUAAUGGAGUGUUUUCAACUUUGUUCAUCUCUGUUGUAUUCUUUUCUCAAUGUUGUUUAACCUCUCAAGGUUCAUUGGUUUUCACUCAUUUGUACAAGAAGCAACUUAGUUUUACCUCUUCUCUUCCUCUUCCAUUUUUCUCUCUGGUGCCAUCCUAGAUCUCGGGACGAGAUACUCUCGUAGUGGUGGAGUGUUGUGGUGGAGUGUUAUCUUGAUAUUCACUACCUUUAUAAAGGGUUAAGGAUUCACCUCUUUCACCCACGCCCCCUUCCUUUUUGCCCAUCCAUUCUUGAGCUCCAGCGCCCAAGCUUCCAUCCUUUCCGCCUCCAAAAAAGCACUCCAGCCAUGUCCGGAUCUGGAGCGCAAGCCAAGUGGAUGGUUUCCUCCGUCAAGGAGAAGGGCAUCACCAGGCUCCGGGAGGCUGGGUACCUAGCCAAGGAAAUCGCCCAUCGGCGCCCGGCCAAGGGAUAGAUUGUCCCCAUGCUAGAGCCCCAUGAGAGGGUCGUUUACAUCCCCCACUUCGUCCGCGGGUUGGGAUUUCCUCUCCACCCAUUCGUCCGCGGACUCAUAUUCUACAACAGGCUGGAUUUCCAUGAUCUGGCCCCCAACUCCUUCCUCAAUAUCUCGGUAUUUAUUGUCGUGUGCGAGGCCUUUCUCCGUAUCCCACCCCACUUUGGACUGUGGUUGAAGAUCUUCAACGUGAAGCUGAAGGUGGUGGAUGGCCAACAUGCUGAGUGCGCAGGCGCCAUGGUGAGCAAGCUGCCCAAUGUCACAUGUCCCAAAGGUACCUUCAUGGAGACCGUCAAAGGGUGGCAACACCAGUGGUUCUAUGUCAAAGAGCCUCGUGAUGCCACCUGGAUCGCGGCUCCUGAAUUCCUGUCCGGCGCCCCGAUGCAGCUCACCUCCUAGCUAGAGAAGGUCCUAAACUGGUCUUCGUCGGACGAGGUGACAGCGCUUCAGACGUGCAUCGGAAGCAUGGUGGACAAGAACGUCAAGCUUGUAAAUGUGAUCCCGGUGAUGCUCGCUGGCCAGAUCCUUCCGUGCCAAAGCCGGACUUGUCACUUGUGGGAGUUUGAUCCGG
rnacentral:lncRNA from 1 species